rnacentral:misc_RNA from 1 species
AGACACAAUUAGAAGAGUACUUCAGCAUAUGAUAUUGAACAAUGCGCUUCCAACAAAAGAUGCACUUGUGUUGUCAGAUAUCCCUGAAGGGACUCCAAAACUGCACAUUUUGGCUUAAGAUAAGCAGCUACCUGUUCAGUUUCUGAAAUUUUGUAUUUAAGGUGUUGUAGAAAGGUUCAACAAGACAUAGUUUGGACAGCGCUUCGACAUGUGAAUAGUAAAUGGUUGGAUUUGAUAAAGCAGUUCUGUGUUCAGUCUCUGCACCUUUCUGAAUUCACUUUUAACAGGUAUCCACAGUG